ACACAGAGAGUCAGGGUCAGCCAAAUGGAAAUUGUCUGCUCAUAGGAGAAGCCCCGGGGCCAUACUCUGAAAGAGGUAGCUUGGCGACAGACAAAUUUUCUAAGAGAGACAGUAUGGGGAGAAGAAAAGGCAAAGGUCCAAGACUCAAAAAAUGAAUGAAUGUUAAAACAUCAGAAGAGCAAGAUAAACGAGUUAAGAAGAUGGCACAGGAGCCACAGAGAGGUGGUGGAAGAUGGCUUGGAAGAGUGAAAACAGUUUUGCUGAGGACAGGUAAGGACACUGAAUGGAUUUCAGAAAGUCAUAGGGCCUGGGUGAAAGCCCCAACACAACAGCAGAGUGGAAUCAUGGAUUGGCUAUUCUAUAAUCCAUUCGCCGUGACUGAGGGUGAGAAGUAGAAUUCUAUUUGAGGCUAUAUUUGAGAGCCAUCUUUGAAAAUGAAGAAGUAGUUUGGGCUCUGGGUAU
rnacentral:lncRNA from 1 species